GUCAGAUAUAAGCUUCUGUUUUCUUUGUCAGUCAAAAGCAUCAGUGCAUUUGUAAUCUUUUUUUAUAUUGUUAUAUUGACAGUGUUGAGCAUCAGUAAUUGAAAAAUGUCAUCAUUUCUGCCAUCAAAGCAAACCUGGAUAGCUGGACUGGGAGGUACUCCUAAGGGUUUCAGUGUUGUUAAAACCUAUGAAGAUGAAUACAACGGAAAUUCAGAUCUUGGAGACCUCUUUAUGGUUGAAUCACAUGUUAGAAACAUCUAUCAUGCUGGAGUGAUGUGCAGUGACGUGGAAAUCAUUCAGUUCACUCAAAUAAAAUCUCAGCCAGUAGCCAAAGCAUCAGGUUUCUCUUGGCUUUUUGGGUUGUCAUCAAGUACAACUUCCCCUCCCCACUCCGAAUCUUCCACUUCUUGUACAGGGCUUGUAAGCAAAGUGAAUGUGGAUGGGUUUACUCAAGGAAUGAGUUUUGCAAUUUACAGGAAGGAUGGUGGAAUUCCUGCAUCAUUUGAAAAGAAUGUUAAAAAUGCAAUGCAGAAAAAUAAAAAAUAUGACUUUAAAACUUACAACUGCAUUCACUUCGCCAUGGAGCUUCUUGAAGUAGAGUAUGAAUAAAAAGAGAUCGUCAACCAGUUUUAACAGUAAGGACGUUGAUGGUGGAGACACAGACCAGUCCUGAUGAUGAAACAAGCGGAUUCCAUUCUCAUCAUAUUAAGAUGGCUUUCCUCAAUAAUACUGUACUUCUGCUGUGCUUGUGUUUUACUUUACUCUGGUGUUAAUAUAAAAGUGUUCUUUACUUAAAAAAAUACUUUGAAUUAUUUCCACUAGGUUCAUAGAACUUGAUUUGAAAAUUUUGAUUCUCUAUAAUUGUUUAUAUAUUAUAUAUAUAUUUUUGUAUCAGUCCCCUCUGUAUCCACAUGAACUGUUUAGCUGGUGAAUUAAAAAAAUGCAUUUUAUUUUUUAUUAAAUCUAAUGAAAUGUCAAUGCAUUGUCAGGAUUAUACUAUUUGAAUGCACUGUUCCUAAUUUGACUUUUUCCCUGUUGUAAGUAAAAAAAACAAAAAGAGUAUAUCUAUAUGUACUCAGUGUGUAUGUACUGGAUAACUACAAGUAUAUAGACUUCAAUUCUGAUUUAUUUUUAGCAGUUAAGAACUUAAUAAUGAUUUAGUUUUGACCAGUAAAGUUUGAGUAAUGAAAUGAAUUUUGCCUGAGCUCCUUCCGUACUUUCUGCCUGCAACCUUUAAAUAAAACACAGAAAACGUA